rnacentral:rRNA from 1 species
CUCACUGACCUAGAGUAUAAAUUCCGCAAAUUUUGAGGGCUUAAAGUUAUUACCGAAACUUCAAACAAAAGAACAUAUUAAAAUUAUUUUGUGGUAGCAGAACCUUCCGUAGGUUGUAAAAGCUAUAGUGCAAACUAUAGUGAAGAUAUCGGAAAUGAGAAUACUUGCAUGAGUAGCACGAAACAACGAAAAACGUUGUGGCUGUAAGUCUAAGGUUUCCGAUCUAAAGUAAUACUUGGUCGGCAGAAGUGUGUACUUCUAGAAAAAACGGUCCCUAAGCAGUCAAGCCAAAGCUUGUAGUGAUGGGUAAGAUUAUGCUGUGAUAAGUAACUGACGAAAAAUUCACUUUAUUUUUAAUGAAUUUAAAGGUAAAUUAUUUUUUCCAAGAAAAAGGCUCUUUUUUAAACCGU